AGUCGACGAUGAAGCCCUUCGGGGUGGAUUAAUGGCGAACGGGUGAGUAACACGUGGGCAAUCUGCCCUUCACUCUGGGACAAGCCCUGGAAACGGGGUCUAAUACCGGAUAACACUCUCUCUCGCAUGGGAGAGGGUUGAAAGCUCCGGCGGUGAAGGAUGAGCCCGCGGCCUAUCACCUAGUUGGUGAGGUAGAAGCUCACCAAGGCGACGACGGGUAGCCGGCCUGAGAGGGCGACCGGCCACACUGGGACUGAGACACGGCCCAGACUCCUACGGGAGGCAGCAGUGGGGAAUAUUGCACAAUGGGCGAAAGCCUGAUGCAGCGACGCCGCGUGAGGGAUGACGGCCUUCGGGUUGUAAACCUCUUUCAGCAGGGAAGAAGCGAAAGUGACGGUACCUGCAGAAGAAGCGCCGGCUAACUACGUGCCAGCAGCCGCGGUAAUACGUAGGGCGCAAGCGUUGUCCGGAAUUAUUGGGCGUAAAGAGCUCGUAGGCGGCUUGUCACGUCGGUUGUGAAAGCCCGGGGCUUAACCCCGGGUCUGCAGUCGAUACGGGCAGGCUAGAGUUCGGUAGGGGAGAUCGGAAUUCCUGGUGUAGCGGUGAAAUGCGCAGAUUUCAAGAGGAACACCGGUUGGCGAAGGCGGAUCUCUGGGCCGAUACUGACGCUGAGGAGCGAAAGCGUGGGGAGCGAACAGGAUUAAAUACCCUGGUAGUCCACGCCGUAAACGGUGGGAACUAGGUGUGGGCGACAUUCCACGUCCUCCGUGCCGCAGCUAACGCAUUAAGUUCCCCGCCUGGGGAGUACGGCCGCAAGGCUAAAACUCAAAGGAAUUGACGGGGGCCCGCACAAGCGGCGGAGCAUGUGGCUUAAUUCGACGCAACGCGGAGAACCUUACCAAGGCUUGACAUACACCGGAAAGCAUCAAAAAUGGUGCCCCCCUUGUGGUCGGUGUACGGGUGGUGCAUGGCUGUCGUCAGCUCCUGUCUUGAGAAGGUUGGGUUAAAUUCCCCAACGAGGGGAACCUUUUUUCCCUGUUUUCAGCAAGGCCCUUGUGGUGCUGGGGACUCACGGGAGACCGCCGGGGUCAACUCGGAGGAAGGUGGGGAGGACGUCAAGUCAUCAUGCCCCUUAUGUCUUGGGCUGCACACCUGCUACAAUGGCCGGUACAAUGAGCUGCGAUACCGCGAGGUGGAGCGAAUCUCAAAAAGCCGGUCUCAGUUCGGAUUGGGGUCUGCAACUCGACCCCAUGAAGUAGGAGUCGCUAGUAAUCGCAGAUCAGCAUUGCUGCGGUGAAUACGUUCCCGGGCCUUGUACACACCGCCCGUCACGUCACGAAAGUCGGUAACACCCGAAGCCGGUGGCCCAACCCCUUGUGGGAGGGAGCUGUCGAAGGUGGGACUGGCGAUGGGACGAGAGUCGUA
rnacentral:rRNA from 1 species